rnacentral:rRNA from 1 species
UUAAAUUGAAGAGUUUGAUCAUGGCUCAGAUUGAACGCUGGCGGCAGGCCUAACACAUGCAAGUCGAACGGUAACAGGAAGAAGCUUGCUUCUUUGCUGACGAGUGGCGGACGGUGAGUAAUGUCUGGGAAACUGCCUGAUGGAGGGGGAUAACUACUGGAAACGGUAGCUAAUACCGCAUAACGUCGCAAGACCAAAGAGGGGGACCUUCGGGCCUCUUGCCAUCGGAUGUGCCCAGAUGGGAUUAGCUAGUAGGUGGGG